GGCUCCUCAUCAUGGUCUUCCACGGCAUGUAUCUGAUGGACGACCUGCUUCUGGUGUCUGUGGAGCACAGCAUGGCCCUUCAUGGCUCCUCACUAGAAGGCAUUCUAUAGGAAAAAACAAAACAAAAAAUGCAUUAUUUACUGUUGGCAUAUAAUGGGAAAAAUAACAAUUAUAUAUUGAACAAUACAGGCGCAGAUACUAAAAUGUAAAAUACAAAAAUGACAAAUUAUAUAAAUUUUACAAACAAAAGGAUUAUAGAUUUUAAGUACUAGGAAAAAUAAGCAUAGUUUGUGUUGUCAACCCCACGCUUUUGCUGUAAACAUGACCUCAAAAGCUAUGAGCCUUAUUACACUCACUGUGAAAGUCAGUCUCACAUCACAAUAACAAGUAAAGCUAAAUGUAUAUAUUGACCCUCUAAAAUAAAAGGUUUGGAGCAUUGAUUUCACAUGUUGAGUAGCAACUACAGUAAAUGGAGGAAAACAUAUUUUACAUGUCAGACAUGUAUAAGAAAAAACCCUGUCCAAUUUGCGCAAAGCUCCUUUAAAAAAAAACCGUUAACAAUAGAUUGCAAACAUUGUCGAACAUUUAAAAUAUAACAAUAAAAAAUAAACACAAUUGUUUGUGCACUUCAUGUAGCAGCACAAGGCCUUUCUAGUGGGGCUGCAAGUAGUGAUUUUAUCGAUUAAUCGGUCGAUUUCUUGUGAUUAAUCGAUGAAUUGGAUGAAGUAAAAGUUUUAUUUCCAUUUCUUUUUUUGAAAAUGUAACUUUUGUAAUGAAAGAGCUAAUAAGCACACAACACAAGUUGCUACUAAGGUGUUCUGUUACAAUAAUAUUAGGUAAUAAAUAAUGCUUCAAAUAAAGAAGUUUGUUGAUUAGAUUCUUAGUCAAUCAUUUAAUAGUCACUGUUGUCUAUGAACAGCGAUUUAACACAACAAAAGUGAAACUGGAAAACGGGUGUCAAUGCAGUUUGGUUGAGCCUCACCCUUGAAGUCGUGCAUCUAGGGAAAUAACUGGGCAUAACAAUGCAACCAGAGGGAAAAAAACACUUCUGACAAUUAGGGCUGGGUAAAAAAUUGAUUUAAUCGAUGUUGGAUCAAUUCCAUUAAAAUUUUACAAAAUCGAUGUGUAGGGAAUGAGAUGGAUUAGUUUUAUAGUGAUGUGAGUGAUGUCGAUGUUCAAGAGCAGGUGUGGGCAAAUGCAAAAUGGCCGACGCAAGUAACGCACCGCUCAGCAAACCGUCUCAAUUGAAGUCUGACGUCUGGAACCGUUUUGAAUUUAAAAGAACUAAAGAGAAUGUGCUGGAUAAAACCAAAGUGGUUUGCAAGAUCUGUCAAGUGGAGGUCAGUUAUUGUAGAAACACUACAAAUCUCCAAAAUCACCUGACAAGAUAUCAUGCUAAGCUAACAUCCGACAACAAACCUUCCGGAGCUAAACAAUUGAUAUUGAGGGACUCGGUUGCAUUACCAGCAGAUUCUCCGCGGGCCAUUAAGAUAACAGAGGCCAUUGCGACUUAUGUGUAAAGAUUUACGGCCCUACUCGGUAGUGGAAAAUGAAGGCUUCAAACGGCUCCUUCAUGUGCUCUAACCACACUACGUUAUGCUGGAACGCAAACAUCUAACUGAAACUGUUAUCCCCAUGAUGUACACAUGAAUGAAAGACGACAUCCAAAUGAAAAUGCAGAGAGUUAGCAGAGAGAGUCGGCAUAACUUUGACACAUGGACAUCGCUGUCAACGCAGUCCUACAUGACGACUUCCCACUACGUCGAUAAUGAGUGGCGCCUCGCGUCUCAUGUGCUACAGACCACCGAAGUUACCUCGAGCCACACCGCUGCAAAUCUAGCCCAUAUGUUGAUGGGGGCCAUACAGAAAUGGGGGAAGACCAGCAAACACCCAGCAGUUGUUACGGACAACGCUGCAAAUAUGGUUUGUGCAGUGGAAUUAACGCAGCUGAAGUUCAGAGUGUGCUGCUUUGCGCACACUCUGAACUUAGCCUCACAAGCAGGUCUAAAAAUCCUUGCUGUGUCACGUCUGCUUGCUUGUAUGAGGCGUAUAGCUACAUUCUUUCACCGGAGUACAACGGCAAACCACAUACUAAAAGAAAAACAGAAGCUGCUUCAACUACCAGCGCACAAAAUAACACCUGACGUUGUGAUAAGAUGGAACAGUGCACUGGACAUACUGGAGCGCUUUUUAGAGCAACAACCAGCCAUCUCUGCUACUCUUUCUCAAGACGUGCGCAGGAAUGAAAAAGAUUUGUGUACCUUAACAGAGGAGGAUGUAACAAUUGCUGAGGAUUUGGUCCGGGUGUUGAAACCGAUGAAAGAAGCUACAUUAGCAAUGUCGGAGGACAAGCAGCCAACUCUGUCUGUCAUUGCCCCACUCCUCGCCCUGCUUCAGGAUGCCUUCCCCCCCCAGCCUUAAAGACAGUGCUUUAGUCAGGGACUUAAAGGCUGCUGUGAAGAAUAACUUGGGGACAAGGUAUCUAUGUAUUUUUUUGCCUUUUAUGUGCAUACUUUUAGCUGUAGCAGUCAGUGACUCAUAUUCCAUCAUGUACUUAUCCUCACUCAAACUGUUACAACACAUUUUUUUCCCCAAGAUAUGAUACCUUGUAUGCAGCGUCCGCGCUGGAUCCUCGCUUUAAGGCCCCUCCAUUCCGGUCUGCUGCAGAGCAAAAUGACACCUUCUCCAGGCUGAAGGCUGAGGCUGCCGCUGCUGCACGUCAUUUAACAAGAUAAUGAUGGCAAUGAUACAGAUAAAGAAGCUGAGGAUACUAUGCCCAAGAAGCCAAAGAUAUCCAGCACCUUGGAGUCUCUCCUUGGGACAGUCUAUUCACCAACAGUAAAGGAUCACAGACUAAAAAACUCCAGUAAUAAGGGCUGAAGAUUAAGUCAGAAGAUACAAAGCUGAAAAUUCUGCUGUGCUGAAUGAGAAUCCUUUGAUCUGGUGGAAGUCAAAUGAAAGGGAGUAUCCACUGUUGAGUCGCCUUGCAAAGCAUUAUCUUUGUGUCCCAGGGACCAGUAUUGCAUCGGAGAGGGUAUUUUCAACAGCUGGUGACAUCGUCACUGCAAAAAGGAGCUGCCUAAGCAUAGAUCAUGUCAAUGAACUAAUUUUCCUUCACAAGAAUCUCACAAUUAGUGAGAAGUGAAAAGAAAGACAAUAAUUUGACUUGGCAGUUUAAUUUAUUUUGUGUUUAUUUGCUAGUAUUUUUUUUGGCCCUUAAAAGAGAAAAUCCCUUGAUGCAAAUUGCUGUGUUGUAGUUAAAGUUACAAGGUAAAUACUUUUAUUUAUACAAAUUUGCACUUUUGAGACAGUUUUGUUUACAUACCAAGUUUAAACUGUCUUGUUUACGUCUGCACUUUGUUUGCACUUUGUGUUUAAUGUGAAGUGAAAAAAUAAAAUACAUGUGUUUUGCAACA